UUACACCUCAUCAAUCAGAAGGAAUCCCUUCUGGUCGAUGAGGUUGUUACACCUCAUCGACCAGGAGGGAUUCCUUCUGAUUGAUGAGUUGUAACAACCUCAUCGACUGGAAGGGAAUCCUUCUAGUUGAUGAGGUGUAA
rnacentral:miRNA from 1 species